AUGGCGGAAUGCUUCAAUAGGGUGCUCAAAGGUGCACGUGGAUUACCCGUGACGGCAAUAGUUCAAUACACAUUUGACAAGAUGAAUGCGUACUUUGUAAAGUACUCGAUGGAAACCGAUGCACAAAUAGCGGGUGAGAACCCACGGAAGUACAAGUACAAGUUCCCACCUAAAGUUGAUGAAUGGUUGGUAUUUCAAUCACGGAAGGCGGACUCAGAAGAAGCUAUAUUAUAUGACAACGAAGAGUGGAAGUACGAAGUGAAAGAGCCAGGAGGAACCACAAACGAUGGCCGGCAACAUGGAGGUCGGGCUUUCAAGGUGUCGUUAACACAAUGUGAUUGCACUUGCGGUAGGCCGUUGUUGCUUCAUCUCCCAUGCUCACACUUGUAUACAGCCGGUCGCCUUAGGAAUGUGGACAUCAAUCACCCACGCACCGUGAGGGAGUCCGAGUUCUCAAUCAUGACAGUCAAGAAAACAUGGGCUCCCCGCUUUCACCCGUACUUUGACCAAUCGCAAUGGCCGGAGUAUCAUGGAGUUCAACUACGGCCGGAUCCG
rnacentral:rRNA from 1 species